AAUAAAGUGCCUGAUUAAAGGGUUAUUCUGAUAGGAUAAAUUAAGUARAUUUCUACCUUUAUUA
rnacentral:tRNA from 1 species